rnacentral:piRNA from 1 species
UAAUGAGGACAACCUCAGAGUGCUUAGGUCC